AGAGUUUGAUCCUGGCUCAGGAUGAACGCUAGCUACAGGCUUAACACAUGCAAGUCGAGGGGCAGCGGGAUUGAAGCUUGCUUCAAUUGCCGGCGACCGGCGCACGGGUGAGUAACGCGUAUCCAACCUUCCGUACACUCAGGGAUAGCCUUUCGAAAGAAAGAUUAAUACCUGAUGGUAUGAUGAAAUUGCAUGAUAGCAUCAUUAAAGAUUUAUCGGUGUACGAUGGGGGUGCGUUCCAUUAGGUAGUAGGCGGGGUAACGGCCACCUAGCCUACGAUGGAUAGGGGUUCGUGAGAGGAAGGUCCCCACAUUGGAACUGAGACACGGUCCAAACUCCUACGGGAGGCA
rnacentral:rRNA from 1 species